rnacentral:snRNA from 1 species
UAGGAUAAGUGGGAGCUUC